UAGGGUCUGAUCCUGCCCCACUGAAGUCAGUGGAAGUUUUGUCAUUGACUUCAGUAGGAGCAGGAUUUGAACCUU
rfam:Tinamus guttatus contig73440, whole genome shotgun sequence.